rnacentral:rRNA from 1 species
CCUAAAAUCUAGCUCACCCACCACAUGAUAAAUUAACCCUCUAACCCACUACCCAGUAAAUAAAACAUUUUUGUAUUAUAGUACAGGAGAUGAAAAAAUUUCUAAACGCUUCAGAUAAAGUACCGCAAGGGAAUGAUGAAAUAACAAUGAAAUAAAUUUAAAGCUUAAAACAGCAGAGACACUCCCUCGUACCUUUUGUAUCAUGGUCUAGCUAGUCUAACCAAGCAAAAAGAAACUUUUAGUUUGACAUCCCGAAACUAAGCGAGCUACUUCAAGACAGCCCACAGGGCCAACCCGUCUCUGUUGCAAAAGAGUGGGAAGAUCUCCAAGUAGAAGUGACAUGCCUACCGAGCUUAGAGAUAGCUGGUUGCUCAGAAAAAGAGUUUUAGCUCUACCUUAAGUUUCAUCUGUUACACAAAACAAACUACUAAACUUAAGAGCUAUUCAAAUAAGGCACAGCUUAUUUGAACUAGGAUUCAACCUCAAAUACUGGGUAAAUAAGGGAUUCCUAAACAAAGUAGGCCUAGAAGCAGCCACCUUUUAAAUAGCGUUAAAGCUUAAUUAUUUUAGUUCCCAAAAUUCUGUAAACCCCCAAACAACCCUUCAUCACUACUGAGCCAUUUUAUAUACUUAUAAAAAUUAUUAUGCUAGAACUAGUAACAAGAAACUGCCCUUCUCCAAAAUGCAAGUAUACACCAAAACGGACAACACAUUGAUAAUUAACGUAAAUGAACCCAACAUAAUAACUUUUACUAGAAAACCCUAUGUACCUCAACGUUAACCUUACACCAGAGCAUUACCGGAAAGAUUAAGAGAGAAAGAAGGAACUCGGCAAAUUUUAGCCCCGCCUGUUUACCAAAAACAUCGCCUCUUGCCUCCCAUAAGAGGUCCAGCCUGCCCGGUGACAAAGUUUAACGGCCGCGGUACCCUGACCGUGCGAAGGUAGCAUAAUCACUUGUUCUUUAAAUAGGGACUCGUAUCAACGGCAUCACGAGGGCUGUACUGUCUCCUUUCUCUAAUCAGUGAAACUGAUCUCCCCGUGAAGAAGCGGGGAUUUAACUAUAAGACGAGAAGACCCCAUGGAGCUUUAAGCCUAAUAUUUAGCCAACGCAACAUACCCCCUGAGCUAUAAAGGCCUUAAAUACCCGCUUUAGGUUGGGGGGACCGCGGAGUAUAACCAAACCUCCACGACUAAUGGGCCUCGCCCUUAUCCACGAACUACGCCUCUAAGAAUCAACAAACUGAUGUUUAAUGACCCGAAACAUUCGAUCAACGAACCAAGUUACCCUGGGGAUAUCAGCGCAAUCCACUUCAAGAGUCCAUAUCGACAAGUGGGUUUACGACCUCGAUGUUGGAUCAGGGUAUC